rnacentral:tRNA from 1 species
GCGCCCAUAGCUUAAUUGGAUAGAGCGUCUGGCUACGGACCAGAAGGUUGGGGGUUCGAGUCCUCCUGGGCGUA